GCGGUUGGGGCAGAAAAAGACACCAGACAAUCCGGAGCUGUGAGUGACUGACUGAUGUGGGAACUGUGUGUUUGGAGCAGGCAGAGUCGACCGUGUGUGUGUGUUACUGUGAGCUGUGUGUGUGUUACUGUGAGCUGUGUGUGUGUUACUGUGAGCUCUGUGUGUGUUACUGUGAGCUGUGUGUGUAUUACUGUGAGCUGUGUGUAUUACUGUGAGCUGUGUGUAUUACUGUGAGCUGUGUGUGUGUUACUGUGAGCUGUGUGUAUUACUGUGAGCUGUGUGUAUUACUGUGAGCUGUGUGUAUUACUGUGAGCUGUGUGUAUUACUCUGAGCUGUGUGUAUUACUGUGAGCUGUGUGUGUAUUACUGUGAGCUGUGUGUGUGUUACUGUGAGCUGUGUGUAUUACUGUGAGCUGUGUGUGUUACUGUGAGCUGUGUGUGUG
ensembl:lncRNA